CGAAGGAUCCAAGCGUUGUCCGGAUUUACUGGGUUUAAAGGGUGCGUAGGCGGACUAAUAAGUCAGUGGUGAAAGCCGGUAGCUUAACUAUCGAACUGCCAUUGAAACUGCUAGUCUCGAGUACGGUUGAGGUGGCUGGAAUGUAUCAUGUAGCGGUGAAAUGCUUAGAUAUGAUACAGAACACCAAUUGCGAAGGCAAGUCACUAAACCGUAACUGACGCUGAGGCACGAAAGCGUGGGGAGCAAACAGGAUUAGAUACCCUGGUAGUCCACGCCCUAAACGUUGAUAACUCGCUGUUGGCGAUACACAGUCAGCGGCUAAGCGAAAGCGGUAAGUUAUCCACCUGGGGAGUACGGUCGCAAGAUUG
rnacentral:rRNA from 1 species